rfam:Neotoma lepida isolate 417 scaffold_1773, whole genome shotgun sequence.
AGAGGUGUAGUUCAGUGAGAGAGCAUGUGCCUAGCAUCCAGAAGGCCCUGGGUUCAAUUCCCAGCACCACAA